rnacentral:ncRNA from 2 species
CGAGGCGGGUGUGGCGAUUUGUACACCGGAUUGCGGGCCACGUUAAACAUGCCGCUAAAGAGGUCAGGGCUGUGCCCCC